UACGAAGGGGGCUAGCGUUGUUCGGAAUCACUGGGCGUAAAGCGCACGUAGGCGGAUCGUUAAGUCGGGGGUGAAAUCCCAGGGCUCAACCCUAGAACUGCCUUCGAUACUGGCGAUCUUCGAGUCCGGGAGAGGUGAGUGGAACUCCGAGUGUAGAGGUGAAAUUCGUAGAUAUUCGGAAGAACACCAGUGGCGAAGGCGGCUCACUGGCCCGGUACUGACGCUGAGGUGCGAAAGCGUGGGGAGCAAACAGG
rnacentral:rRNA from 1 species